rnacentral:rRNA from 1 species
UACGGAGGGUGCGAGCGUUGUCCGGAAUUACUGGGCGUAAAGCGCACGUAGUCGGCUUUGCAAGUCGGGUGUGAAAUCCCCGGGCCUCAACCUGGGAACUGCAUCCGAGACUGCAUUGCUAGAGUAUGGGAGAGGGAAGCGGAAUUUCUGGUGUAGCAGUGAAAUGCGUAGAUAUCAGAAGGAACAUCAGUGGCGAAGGCGGCUUCCUGGACCAAUACUGACGAUCAGGUGCGAAAGCGUGGGGGAGCAAACAGG